CCUACGGGAGGCAGCAGUGAGGAAUAUUGCACAAUGGGCGCAAGCCUGAUGCAGCCAUGCCGCGUGUAUGAAGAAGGCCUUCGGGUUGUAAAGUACUUUCAGCGGGGAGGAAGGGAGUAAAGUUAAUACCUUUGCUCAUUGACGUUACCCGCAGAAGAAGCACCGGCUAACUCCGUGCCAGCAGCCGCGGUAAUACGGAGGGUGCAAGCGUUAAUCGGAAUUACUGGGCGUAAAGCGCACGCAGGCGGUUUGUUAAGUCAGAUGUGAAAUCCCCGGGCUCAACCUGGGAACUGCAUCUGAUACUGGCAAGCUUGAGUCUCGUAGAGGGGGGUAGAAUUCCAGGUGUAGCGGUGAAAUGCGUAGAGAUCUGGAGGAAUACCGGUGGCGAAGGCGGCCUGCUGGGCUUUUACUGACGCUGAAGCACGAAAGCGUGGGGAUCGAACAGGAUUAGAUACCCCUGUAGUC
rnacentral:rRNA from 1 species